rnacentral:rRNA from 1 species
GGAUGCUGACGAGUGGCGAACGGGUGAGUAAUGCAUCGGAACGUGCCCAGUCGUGGGGGAUAACGCAGCGAAAGCUGCGCUAAUACCGCAUACGAUCUAUGGAUGAAAGCGGGGGACCGUAAGGCCUCGCGCGAUUGGAGCGGCCGAUGUCAGAUUAGGUAGUUGGUGGGGUAAAGGCUCACCAAGCCAACGAUCUGUAGCUGGUCUGAGAGGACGACCAGCCACACUGGAACUGAGACACGGUCCAGACUCCUACGGGAGGCAGCAGUGGGGAAUUUUGGACAAUGGGCGCAAGCCUGAUCCAGCAAUGCCGCGUGCAGGAAGAAGGCCUUCGGGUUGUAAACUGCUUUUGUACGGAACGAAACGGUCUGGGUUAAUACCCUGGGCUAAUGACGGUACCGUAAGAAUAAGCACCGGCUAACUACGUGCCAGCAGCCGCGGUAAUACGUAGGGUGCAAGCGUUAAUCGGAAUUACUGGGCGUAAAGCGUGCGCAGGCGGUUUUGUAAGACAGUCGUGAAAUCCCCGGGCUCAACCUGGGAAUUGCGAUUGUGACUGCAAAGCUGGAGUGCGGCAGAGGGGGACGGAAUUCCGCGUGUAGCAGUGAAAUGCGUAGAUAUGCGGAGGAACACCGAUGGCGAAGGCAAUCCCCUGGGCCUGCACUGACGCUCAUGCACGAAAGCGUGGGGAGCAAACAGGAUUAGAUACCCUGGUAGUCCACGCCCUAAACGAUGUCAACUGGUUGUUGGGUCUCUUCUGACUCAGUAACGAAGC